GGGCUCAAUGGAAGAGCCUCUGCUUGGCAUACAGAAGGCCUCAGGUUCAAUCCCCUGCAUGUGCA
rnacentral:tRNA from 1 species